GAUAGAACGUAGCGAAAUGCGAUAAGUAAUGUGAAUUGCAGAAUUCAGUGAAUCAUCGAAUCUUUGAACGCAUCUUGCGCUCCUUGGUAUUCUGAGGAGCAUGCCUGUUUGAGUGUCAUUAAAUUCUCAACUACACUGACUUUGAAUUGGUGUGGCUUGGAUUUGGGGGGAAAAUUGUUGUGGGCUUUUUGUAUAGUCUGCUCCCCUGAAAUUGAUUAGCGGUACCUUUGUGGAACUGUCUACAGGUGUGAUAAUUAUCUACAUCUUAGACAUCUGCUGGAAUGCUGCUUUCUAAACCUUACUUGUAUUGACAAUCUUGACCUCAAAUCAGGUAGGACUACCCGCUGAACUUAAGCAUAUCAAUAAGCGGAGGA
rnacentral:misc_RNA from 1 species